CGGGUGAGUAACGCGUGGAUAACCUGCCUUACACUGGGGGAGUAACACUUAGAAAUAGGUGCUAAUACCGCAUAAGCGCACAGAGCCGCAUGGCUCAGUGUGAAAAACUCCGGUGGUGUAAGAUGGAUCCGCGUCUGAUUAGCUGGUUGGCGGGGUAGAAGCCCACCAAGGCGACGAUCAGUAGCCGGCCUGAGAGGGUGAACGGCCACAUUGGGACUGAGACACGGCCCAAACUCCUACGGGAGGCAGCAG
rnacentral:rRNA from 1 species